UACGGAGGGUGCAAACGUUGCUCGGAAUCAUUGGGCGUAAAGCGCACGUAGGCGGCCCAGCAAGUGGGGAGUGAAAGCCCUCGGCUUAACCGAGGAAGUGCUUUCCAAACUACUGGGCUUGAAUACUGGAGAGGGUCGCGGAAUUCCCGGUGUAGAGGUGAAAUUCGUAGAUAUCUGGAGGAACACCGGUGGCGAAGGCGGCAUCCUGGACCGACACUGACACUGAGGAGCGAAAGCCAGGGGAGCAAACGGG
rnacentral:rRNA from 1 species